UCGCUGCCCUGCCGCUCUCCAUCCUAAUCGACUCCCCUCGGUCUUCCCCAACUUCGGCCCCGGCAACAGGUCCCCUUCAUCUCCCUUUCCUCUCCUCUGGUGUGCGUGGUUUCCUUGUACGAGUAGACGAGUUAUUAGUACUAGAAUUUCAUCAGAUCUAAAGUUGGGUGCAUAUGCUACAAAUUCUUAAUCUAAGAAGAAUGUUCAGGCAUUGUGUGCAUGUUUGCGCUGAGGACACAAAUUUGGGGGUCCAGCUCCUUGUGUGAAUGUGCAAGGAAUUCGGAACUUGCAUCUUUAAUAUGACAUGGUAUAUUUAUUCUUAAUCUCUCCAUUACGUUUUGUGUUCCAUUUUUCUCGAUGGAAGUAAUUGUGGUUUACUUUCACAUGGUUUUUAAACAAAUAAACCAUGAUGUGCUGAAUAGCUGACAUGCAGAGGAAAUGGUACAGCUUGAUGACUAUUUUACUACUAAAUUAUUCUCAAGUAUUUAUUGUUCCUUUUGUGAUAGUUUUCUCUCUCCUAAAAAUAAAAUGAAUAAUUUUUAAUUCUUUGAACAAGUUUGCCUAAAUUAGGGCGCUCAGUCAUUGAGGCAUUAUCAAUUUCUUUUAGAAGCUUCGCAAAAUCCGCUCUUGUACUAAAGAAAUCUAAUGUAGAUUUGUUAGCCUUAUAGGGUACUAUAUGGUGAACACAUGAUAUUAAAUAUACAGUAAAUUGCACUGUGAAGUGAGUAUGUAUAUACUAUCCACACAGGAUUGCCAUUUUGGAGAUGUUGCUGGGAUCAUCAUGGAUUGGGAUGCAUUCUGAUAAUAAGAUAUUAGGUAUUGAUAUGUGAUAUGUAUGUCACACUUGACUUCAUCAUCCUUUGUUUUUAGAUGUAUUCUUUAGGCAUACAUUAAUGUGGUAGCUUGGUCAUAUUCUGUAGCUAAUUUAGUCACCAAAUACUCGGAUUUUUUCCCGACUCCCAUUAUAAAGAACUUCCACUUGCCAUCUCUAUAUGGAUUUUCUUUUUGCUACCGAUUUUGGCUAAAGGUUUUUCGGCUCUCAUCUCUAUAUGGAUAUGCUUUUUUCAGGUUAGUAGUUUAGGAGUUCCUGCCAACACUAGUUUUUGGAAGUUAUACUCCCUUCACCAGUUGGGCUUAACAAGGACAUAAUUAAUUCGCUGUUGGUAAUUAGAAGGGAAAAAAAUCUGGUUGGAGAAAACUUCUCUUUUUCUUAAUUGUUUGCUUCAUAAUUUUAGUAAUCUUUUUUUCAUUUUUUUUCAGGUUAGUAGUAUGGGAGUACCUGUCAAGACUGACUUUUGGAAGUUAUGCUAGCCUCAUCAGUUGGGCUUUCUAUACAAAACUAGACUCAAUAUAAUUUAUUUUGGUGCUUGCGAUGAGUAUUAGACAGAGGGGUGAUGACCACAUAGUUCACACAGUGUAUCUGUUCAUGUAUGUCAUUAAUUAUCUAAUUAGACAAAACAACUCUCUCUGUAUGGUGUUUGUGAUGAUGCUGUCAAUUCACUAAACACUAAAAUACCAGGUUGUGAUUUUCAAAUCUAGCAAAUUAAUUUUCUCUAUUGCUUCUUUUCCAGGCAGAAGUUUUAGUCUAUUCUGUUCCAUGAGUCUUACUGUCAAAAAAAAAUAUGGUAGCAUCAGAAGUUGUCCCCAUCAGAUAGAACACUGCCUAAUAGAUUCAUUCUAUUACUGUAUAGCCAUGGUGACAAAAAUAUUCAGAUAACAAGAAACAAUUCUGUCAAAUAUUCUCAGCGGAGAUACUGUUGCGGUCUAUAAGUAAAAAAAUGUUAAUUAUUUAAUUAAACAGAAAACUAUGUUAUUUAUACCAACAGAUGCUAAACAAUCAGACUACCUGACACAAAAGUAUAUAUAUACAUUAGUUAAAUUUCAUUCCAAAAAUAGAUGAUGUAGUGGUAGAUGUUAAUCGUACAAGAACACGAGGAUGACAAACAUAAAUUAAUCACAUAUAUUAUCAUCACAG
rnacentral:lncRNA from 1 species